rnacentral:rRNA from 1 species
AGAGUUUGAUCAUGGCUCAGAAUGAACGCUGGCGGCGUGCUUAACACAUGCAAGUCGAACGGUAACAGGAAGUACUUGUACUUCGCUGACGAGUGGCGCACGGGUGAGUAAUAUAUAGGUUACGUGCCUCUUAGACUGGGAUAGCCACUGGAAACGGUGAUUAAUACUAGAUACUCCUACUUGUAGGGAAAGCUUUUGCGCUAAGAGAUCGGCCUAUACUGUAUCAGCUUGUUGGUGAGGUAAUGGCUCACCAAGGCGAUGACACAUAGCGGGUUUGAGAGGAUGAUCCGCCACACUGGUACUGAGACACGGACCAGACUCCUACGGGAGGCAGCAGUGAGGAAUAUUGCACAAUGGGCGAAAGCCUGAUGCAGCAACGCCGCGUGGAGGAUGACGCAUUUCGGUGUGUAAACUCCUUUUAUCAGAGAAGAAAAUGACGGUAUCUGAUGAAUAAGCUCCGGCUAACUCCGUGCCAGCAGCCGCGGUAAUACGGAGGGAGCAAGCGUUAUUCGGAAUCACUGGGCGUAAAGGACGCGUAGGCGGGUUAUUAAGUCAGAUGUGAAAUCCUAUGGCUCAACCAUAGAACUGCAUUUGAAACUGGUAACCUAGAGUAUGGAGGGGAAAAUGGAAUUAGUGGUGUAGGGGUAAAAUCCGUAGAUAUCACUAGGAAUACCGAAAGCGAAGGCGAUCUGCUGGGACAUUAUUGACGCUGAGGCAUGAAAGCGUGGGGAGCAAACAGGAUUAGAUACCCUGGUAGUCCACGCCCUAAACGAUGCACACUAGUUGUUGCGAUGCUCGUCAUUGCAGUAAUACAGUUAACACAUUAAGUGUGCCGCCUGGGGAGUACGGUCGCAAGAUUAAAACUCAAAGGAAUAGACGGGGACCCGCACAAGCGGUGGAGCAUGUGGUUUAAUUCGAAGAUACGCGAAGAACCUUACCUAGACUUGAAAUCCUUAGAAUCCUGUAGAGAUACGGGGAGUGCUUGUUUACAGAGCCUAAGUGACAAGGUGCUGCACGCUGUCGUUCAGCUCCGUGUCGUGAGAUGUGGUAGUCCGGCCAACCGAGACGCCAACUCCUCUGUGUGAUC